ACUGCGUUCUAGCCGUUGAGUAGUUUAAACUCAAAUUUGGUUGAAAAAAUGAGCCAGCCAUUUUGAAAUGUCAACGCUGUGAUCAUUCUGAAACCGUCAUCGUCUGCAUACGGCAUAACACUUAACAGUAGAAAAAUAGUGAGUUUCUUUAAAAAAAAAAAUCCCAAGGAUGGUGAAAUAAUUGUUUCUGAUGUCGUUUUAUACUGAAUUCCGGAAGCUGGCCAGAAAAUGUAACGAAUUAAUUGAAGGAGUUCAAUUUUCCUGGGUCCACGAUCUUUGCGCAAGAUAGCUGAAAUUUAUAAGAAGUGCCAGUUCCCGACUAAAAAACUACUGCGCUGUUCUCGAUAGCUGCCACAUGUUCCAAUUAUUGUUUGCCGUUCCUGCCAUCCGCCAUGAACGAUGGAAAAACGAGAAGGCCGUUCCGACUGUUGUUGCUGCGUUCUAGCAACCCAUCCACCAUCAUCAAAUGUUUCCGGAUAAAGAUACUCAAACUGAACGAAUAUGUUAUACAAAGCUUUCUCGAGCCCACGGCAAUCCGGUUAUGGAUCAUUGGAGCGAAUAGCGUUCGAUCAUUAACAAUUUUUGUUAGUACACAGUGCACUUCAUGAGUUAGAGGAUGUUAGCUUGAAAACAAAUCAUCGGAACCACCUUCCUGAGAAACCCACAUACUGUGCCUUAACUGCUGGAACGACCAAGAAAAGCCUUGAAAAUUAUUUGUCUAAAUAGAUUGUUUUAUUACUUUCAACAAUAAACUCUAGACUAGAUGUGUUAAAGCCUUA